GGGCCUGUGGCUCAGUUGGUAGAGCAUGGUGUGUGCAACGCCAGGGUUGUGGGUUCGAUUCCCAUGAGGGGCCA
rnacentral:tRNA from 1 species